ACUACGGGAGGCAGCAGUGAGGAAUAUUGGUCAAUGGGCGCGAGCCUGAACCAGCCAAGUAGCGUGAAGGAUGACUGCCCUACGGGUUUUAAACUCCUUUUAUAAAGGAAUAAAGUGAGGCACGUGUGCCUUUUUGUAUUUACUUUAUGAAAAAGGAUCGGCUAACCCCGUGACAGCAGCGGAGGUAAUACGGAGGAUCCGAGCGUUAUCCGGCUUGAUUGGGUUUAAAGGGAGCGUAGAUGGGUUGUUAUGUCAGUUGUGAAAGUGUGCGGCUCAACCGUAAAAUUGCAAUUGAUACUGGCAGUCUUGAGUGCAGUUGAGGUAGGCGGAAUUCGUGGUGUAGCGGUGAAAUGCUUAGAUAUCACGAAGAACUCCGAUUGCGAAGGCAGCUUACUAAUCUGCAACUGACGUUGAUGCUCGAAAGUGUGGGUAUCAAACAGGAUUAGAUACCCCAGUAGUC
rnacentral:rRNA from 1 species